rnacentral:rRNA from 1 species
UACGAGGGGGCGAGCGUUGUUCGGAAUUAUUGGGCGUAAGGGUGCGAUAGGCGGUUUGGUAAGUCUUAUGUGAAAAUCUACAGGCUACAACCGUUGUAGCUCUGCAUUGAAGAAACUGCCGGGCUUAGUGUGGGAGAGGUGAGUGAAUUCCUGGUGUAGCGGUGAAAAUGCGUAGAUAUCAGGAGGAACACCUGUGGCGAAGCGCGCUCGACUGACAUAACUGACGCUGAUGCACGAAAGCGUGGGGAGCAAACAGG